CAGGUGGACAAGCUUUUCCUGAAGUGCAUUUGACAAUAAAUUCAAAUUCUGAGGAACCACAGAGGGAUUCUAACACAGAUUCUUCCUGUGUUGUAACAAGAGGUAUGGCUAAAAAGACUGAUGUAAAGAAUGAGGUUGUUACCCAUGACAGUUCAAUCACGAUUCGAAUUUUGAGGAUGUAUCAGAAACUUUCUUACCUACAUUAUUUGAUCAGGAUUUUGGUGGUAAGUCUGACCAGGAAGAUUUGCCUUUAUCUCAGAAGGAGAUGAUAGCAGAGCAGGGUAGAGAUCCUGAGAUAGUUAAAUUAAGAGAACAAGCUCUUCCAGAUAGUGAAAUUGAAAAAGUACCAGUUGGAUAUUAUUUUGAAAAGGGGGUAUUAAUGAGGAAGUGGAGGUGGCCUACAAUUCCUGCUAGUGAGGAAUGGGAAGUUAAUCAUCAGGUAGUAGUUCCUAAAAUUUACUGAAAUCAGAUUUUAACUAUGGCUCAUAGUAUUCCUUUGGGUGGUCAUUUAGGGGUAAAGAAAUCUAUGAACAAAGUUUCUAAACAUUUUUAUUGGCCUGGUUUAACCAAGGUGUGGCAACAUUUUGUAGAACAUGUCAUACAGGACUAAUUGUGGGUAAAUCUAAUCAGGUUACUCCAGUGGCCCCACUGCAACCAAUUCCUGUAUUUAGUGAGCCGUUCUCAAAAAUCAUUGUAUGCUGUGUAGGUCCUUUGCCAAAAACUAAAACUGGACAUCAAUAUUUAUUAACUAUUGUGUGCCUUGGAGAGGUUUCAUUCUACAUUAAAAACUAUGAUUAAGACAUAUUGUGUAGAAAGUGAAAAGGACUGGGAUGAAGGUAUACAUUUACUACUUUUUGCAGUAAGCGAGGCAGUACAGGAAUCAUUAGGUUUUAGUCCUUUUGAACUUGUGUUUGGACAUAUAGUUCGAGGACCUUUGGCCUUGUUGAAGGAACAGUGGAUUAAUAAAGAAGUACACACAAAUUUGCUGGAUUAUGUUUUGAAAUUUAAAGACAGAUUGUAUAAAGCUUGUAGCUUGGCCAAGGAAAAUUUGAAGUUAGCUCAAGAGAAGAUGAAGACGUGGUAUGAUAAGGAAGCUGGGAUAAGGUCAUUUAAGCCUGGAGAUAAGGUGUUGGUUCUUUCCCCAGUGCAAAUGAACCCAUUACAAGCCAAAUUCCAUAGUCCUUAGGAGAUUAAAUCUGAGGUAAAUGAUGUCGAUUACGUGGUAAAAAUCCCAGAUUGGAGAAAGACGACACAGCUGAGUCAUAUAAAUAUGAUAAAACCGUAUUAUGAGAGAGAGGUUGCUACUGUGACUGUUGUGAUCAAUAAUGAGUCUGAUCUUGAUGAAAAUUUAAUAGAGGGGUCAUCUGAAACUCAUUUUAAAACCAACAUUAUUUCAGCCAGGUUACCAAAUUCAAAAAUAUUGAUGAAAAAUUAGCUCAUUUACAGCUAGAGCAGAGGGCAGAUGAAACAGUUAAUUUUUAAAUAUGGAGAUUUAUUUCCAGACGUCCCUAGAAGAACCACCGUAGCUACACAUGAUGUAGAUGCUCGAGAUGCAAAACCCAUAAAACAACAGCCGGAUUGAAUGAACAGGGAAAAAUGUGAACUUGCUGAACAGGAAAUUAAGUAUAUGUUAGAGAAUGAUAUUAUUAGACAUUCUAAUUUGAAUUGGAGUUCACCGUGUGUUAUAGUGCCUAAACCAGACCAUAGUAUUAAGUUUUGUACGGAUUACAGAAAGGUGAAUGCUGUGACAAAAACUGAUGCUUAUCCAAUCCUUAGGGUUGAUGAUUGUGUGGAUAAAGUUGGACAGGCCAACUUCCUUACAAAAAUUGAUUUGUUAAAAGGUUAUUGGUGUGUUCCAUUGACGGAUAGAGGUAGAGAGAUUUCAGCAUUUGUAACCCCAUCUGGGUUAUAUGAAUAUAAUGUUCUUCUAUUUGGGAUGAAGAAUGCACCAGGUACUUUUCAGAGGAUGAUUAAUAGCGUGAUUCAGGGAUUAAAAGAUACAGAUGCCUAAAUUGAUGAUUUGGUUACAGGGAAUAAUACGUGGAAAGCACAUAUUACAGCGGUGGAGAAACUAUUUGAGAGACUUUCAAAAGCUAACUUAACUAUGAACUUAGCUAAAGGUGAAUUUGGUCAUUCCACAGAUACUUACCUUGGUUAUGUUGUGGGUCAGGGAAAAUUAGCACCUGUUCAGGAGAAAGUUCAGACAGUUUUAGAAGUACCCACUACAACUGGUAGAAAAACUCCCAGAAGAUUCUUGGGUAUGGUAGGAUAUUAAAGAAAAUUUUGUAAGGAUUUUGCAAAUAUUGCUCUUCCGUUAACUAAUCUCUUGAAGAAAAAUGAGAAGUUUGUUUGGACAGAUCAUGUCAGGAAGAAUUUGAUAAAUUGAAAGCUAUAAUAUGUAGUCAACCUGUACUUGAAUCUCCUGACUUUGAAAAACCAUUUUUGUUAGCUGUAGAUGAUAGUGAUGAAGCUGCAGGAGCAGUGUUACUUUAAAAAGAUAAUGGUGAUGAAGUUGAUCAUCCGGUAGCUUAUAUUUCUAAGAAAUUUAAUGCCCAUCAAAGAAAUUACUCAACAAUAGAAAAGGAAUUGUUAUCUCUUGUUUUGGCUUUACAACAUUUUGAAGUGUAUGUUGGUACUACUCAUAAACCACUCACAGUUUAUACCGAUCACAAUCCAUUAGUGUUUUUGGGUAAGAUGAAAAACAAAAAUAGACGAUUAUUAAAUAGGAGUCUAAUGUUACAGGAGUACAAUAUUUUGAUCACUCAUAUUAAGGGUAAAGACAAUGUGAUCGCUGAUUGUUUGUCUAGAUGCUAAAUGUACAAUGAAAUGUUUUUUUUUCAGAGUGGUAUUCUAACAUUUGUAACACUCCUACUGUACAUUAGUUUGUAAAGGGCUGAAAGAUAAGAUUGUAUAUAUUGUGUAUUUUGUAAAUAUUAUACCUUUGUAUUUUUUUGUACAAAUUGUUAAAAUUUUGUUCUUUAAGUGACCAUUUAUUUUGGAGGGAGGUGUUACAUGCUCAAGGAGAUCUGUGCUUUUCUUUGUGAGAAUGAUGUAAUGGUCUCUUGGGGGGCACCUGAUGUGAUUCUUCCGUCGAUGUGAGGCCACGUGAUGACAUGUGCACCAUGGCUAUAUAAGGGUCAACCCAGAUGACGCAGUUGGUUUUCAGUUUGCAGAUUUCCAGGUACAACGUGCUGUGUCUCCAUUUCUGUUGCGUGUUUGUUUUUAAAACAUUGUAUUGCAUUCUAUUGCCAGAUACCAUAUUAUUGGACUGGAAAUUUUUGCUGGAUGUGUUGAUUUAUUCAAUUCCAACAGUAGAAGGGAGAGUGAAGAAUUUAUCGAAGUACAGGAUCCAAGGAUCGAGAGGAGUUGACAUCGUUCGGCAGUUUAACAAAGGAUCGACCUUAUUGAGUCUUCGUUGGUGGAGUAGCGACCUGCAUCACAGAUAACGCUUGCCAAAAAGAGCAAGGAGUUCAUGCAAAGGUUUGCCCUCUCUCUAGAAGAAUUUAAGGUCAGUUGUUUUAAACUGUUUAUUUUUGGCAUCGUGAAUCCUGUGGACAGAACCAGCAGGAAAGUCAUGUCUGUGAAGAAAUCCUUCUCCAGAGAAGUCUCUCCCAAUUGAACGUAUAAAUCUGUUGGACUUUCGAAUUUAUCGCUUUAAGAACUAUAUUUGACUUUAUCACUUUAAGAACUGUUUUAACACUUUAAGAACCAGUGCCGAGUGUCAAUUUGUUGAACGGCUGCAUAUCGGUUAACUUCCGGUUAAAGUUUUUGUUUGUUUUUUUUACCUUAUCGUUUAUCCGUGUUUAAUAAAUGUUUGGUUGUUUUUAUAUAACCUGUCUCGGUUGAUAUUCAUUGUUGCCAGUUACGUAACAAUGUAGACAGAGAGGAGACAUCUGAUGAAGUAAGGAGAAUGGGCUAUGGAAGGCAAGAUGGAGUAAGUGCAAGGAAAUAAAAAAUAAUUGGACCAGUCACUAUAGUACUACAUUCUUUCCCCCUCUCCCUCUACCAAACAACACCUUUUGGAUCUGUGGGGAGCAAGCUUAUCCAUGGCAAAGAAUGACUAAUAUGGUUGUUGUUACCCUGGGUUUGUAGUAUCCCUCUCUAAGAGACCCCCCAAAUUGGAAAAACGUGAACAGCAGAAACAAGAAGGGGGCAAUCUCUGAAAAGGAGCAAUAUUGGAUGAUAGCAGUUGGCUGUUAUGGGGUCGCGAAGACGGCCAGAGAAUUGAUCAAUACGGCCGUUGCCCUUGAGAAUCUGGCAAAUGCACCAGCGGAGGGGCUACGUGGAACUGAACAGACUCUAAAGGCUGUCACGGUAGAGACUGUAGCCCUGAGAAAGGUGGCUGUGCAGAACAGAAUGGUCUUUGAUUUCCUGCAGGCUGAGAAAGGGGGAAUUUGCGCUAUCAUAGAGGCAGGAAUGUUGCAGCAGACGAAUCAGAAAACAUCACUAAUCUUGCAGACUACAUUAAGAGAUCAGUGACUAAGAUAAAACAGUGGGGGGGCAGUUCCACAACUAUAACCCAUCUGGGAGAGAAUGGCAGCCAUUUGGAAAUUGGUGGAGGAUGCUGGUACAUUACAGGAUAAUACUUGUAAUUGUGGUAAUUUACGUACUGGUCAUGAGGUUCCUCUGUGUCCUACUACACUCCAGAGGACAGAGCUCGAUGACUCUAGCCCCCUUGUAUGUACUAAGACCAACUGGACGGCCUGGAAGCUCUCGGAAAGGAGAGGAAGAAUAGGAUAGUAGUGGUAGCCAUGAUGAGGAUGAAUAUCUGAAAAUGCUCCCUUUUCGUGAGGGUUAUGAGGCCCCUUCCCAGAGAUAGAAUCCCUAAAAGAAUAUAAAUGUGAAUAGGAAAAACGACCCCAGAAACAAGAGCUAAUGUGUUCAGCUCUGCAAGAUAGUUUAACUUGUAACUGCUCCUUUCUCUCUAUUUUUUUAGUGAACAGCCCUCCGGUGAAAAAUGAUCGUAUCUGUUAAAUAGGGGCCGUGGACAAUUCUAAUUUGAUGGAGAAUGGACGUGAAAGCACAGAGGAACUUCUGGAGAAAUUUCUGAAACACUCAUUUGCCGCUGUAGUUACUGUAUGGUCGGGAAUCUUUCAGAGGGUAGGCCUCAAAAUCCCCGGCUUUGCCUGCUUUUGGCGACCGAGAAGGAGGUUGAAUCGUUCGGACAGAGAUGGCGCUCAGUACUCAGUGUCGGAGAGCUGAUCAGAGCACGAAGUUUUCGGAUGACUCAGAGUCGGACUGUGGUCGGCAUGGCAGGGAGAGUUUUUCUUCCUUCUCCCGUCUGCGUGAGAUGUGGUGGUGGGACCAGUCAUCCCAUUGG